GAUGAACGCUGGCGGCGUGCCUAAUACAUGCAAGUCGAGCGAACAGACGAGGAGCUUGCUCCUCUGACGUUAGCGGCGGACGGGUGAGUAACACGUGGAUAACCUACCUAUAAGACUGGGAUAACUUCGGGAAACCGGAGCUAAUACCGGAUAAUAUAUUGAACCGCAUGGUUCAAUAGUGAAAGACGGUUUUGCUGUCACUUAUAGAUGGAUCCGCGCCGCAUUAGCUAGUUGGUAAGGUAACGGCUUACCAAGGCAACGAUACCUAGCCCACCUGAGAGGGUCAUCGGCCACACUGCAACUCAGACACGGUCCAGACUCCUACGGGAGCCCGCCGUCGGGAAUCUUCCGCAAUGGGCGAAAGCCUGACGGAGCAACGCCGCGUGAGUGCUGAAGGUCUUCGGAUCGUAAAACUCUGUUAUUAGGGAAGACCGAAUGUGUAAGUAACUAUGCACGUCUUGACGGUACCUAAUCAGAACGCCACGGCUAACUACGUG
rnacentral:rRNA from 1 species